rnacentral:snoRNA from 13 species
GGAUGUGAUGAAUUUCUUGGAAUCUCGUUCGGCUGAACUCUGCUGUUGAGACUUGGAAAUCUGAUUGUC